rnacentral:rRNA from 1 species
UACAGAGGUGGCAAGCGUUGUUCGGAAUUACUGGGCGUAAAGGGCGCGUAGGCGGCCUACUAAGUCAGACGUGAAAUCCCCCGGCUUAACCUGGGAACUGCGUCUGAUACUGGAAGGCUUGAGGAUGGGAGAGGGAUGUAGAAUUCCAGGUGUGGCGGUGAAAUGCGUAGAUAUCUGGAGGAACACCGGUGGCGAAGGCGGCAUCCUGGACCGAAAUUGACGCUGAGGCGCGAAAGCCAGGGGAGCAAACGGG